rnacentral:rRNA from 1 species
GACGAACGCUGGCGGCGUGCUUAACACAUGCAAGUCGAACGCUGAAGCCCUUUCGGGGGUGGAUGAGUGGCGAACGGGUGAGUAACACGUGGGUAAUCUGCCCUGCACUCUGGGAUAAGCCUUGGAAACGGGGUCUAAUACCGGAUAGGACACAUCGCCGCAUGGUGUGUGUGUGGAAAGUUCCGGCGGUGCAGGUUGAGCCCGUGGCCUAUCAGCUUGUUGGUGGGGUGAUGGCCUACCAAGGCGACGACGGGUAGCCGGCCUGAGAGGGUGACCGGCCACACUGGGACUGAGACACGGCCCAGACUCCUACGGGAGGCAGCAGUGGCGAAUCUCGCGCAAUGGGCGAAAGCCUGACGCAGCAACGCCGCGUGGGGGAUGACGGCCUUCGGGUUGUAAACCUCUUUCGACCGGGACGAAGGGUGACUGACGGUACCGGUAGAAGAAGCACCGGCUAACUACGUGCCAGCCGCCGCCGUAA